UGGCCCACCUUAUAUGGAAGGCUCGAUCUCGCUUCCCGUCCUGCCGUCCCUCUCCUCCCCGAUGGCGGCGCUUCCCGACGUCCGGCGGCAAGCAGCCAGCUGCGGAUGCGCCAUCUCUGCUCCUGGAGGACCCGCAUCCAUCGGCCGUGGUCUCCGCGGCAUCGGCGACGGCGGCGGCCUUGCGGCGCGAAGCUUCAGCUCCGGCCAGAUCAACGGCGCCCUUGCCGCCGGGCCUCCGUGGAGAGCAGACUACGGGGAAAAUUAGAGAUGUGGCGAUAGAGGAGAAAGCCUAUCAUCAGCAGCCAAUUGUCUGAAGAUGUCAAUACCGGGAUUCCAAAUGAAGCAAUAAGAUCAGCUAUGUGCAGCUUUGGCUGCGCCGACAACCUCUGAGACUGAGCUGAGCUCAUCCUGGUAUGGACGAAGUAUCCAACAUUUUGAAGAGUCUUUUUUGUGCUCAGGGAUUCAUAGUGCAAUCAAUCAUGCGGACAUAAUGCAUGCUAACGAUUAACAGAAGCUGCGCCUAGAAGAAGCAGAAGCUUCACAGGCGGCAUAAAGAGAAGCUGAAGCUUUUAAGGUUUAUGCCUAUCAUGGAGUAACAAUUUUUCUGUUGCUACAUGGAUUGGAUCAUUGGACGAGCUGGUGCUGUGGUGCUGUUGGAGCACCAUUCUCUGUCUGCAAAUCACUGUUCCCUGCUGAACUGUUUUAAGGCCUCCUACUAGGAAGAUACUUGUUCAUCCUGAAGUCCUAAUCUGCCAAUCUACACCUUCAUAAAACUGCAUGGUGGUUCAUUCCGCUCAAUGGGCAUAGCUGAACAUGUCAAGAACUCUUUUUUUUAAGAACAAGAACCACAUUCUAUCCAUGGAUAUACUGCUGUUUGAGAACCUGCUGAAGCCAACAGCAACGUUGCAAGGAGGUGCAAAUGAUGCAAUAUGGGUGCUGAAACCUGACUACCACAAAUUUUAGCUGUAGCUGAUCGGAGCAAAGUAUUGUCUAGGUGUAACGCGCUGCAAAUUUGAUAGAGGAGACAUGCCCCUAAAUAAUACUCCCUCCGUUUCGAAAUAUUUGACA